AGCGAACGCUGGCGGCAGGCCUAACACAUGCAAGUCGAACGAAGUCUUCGGACUUAGUGGCGGACGGGUGAGUAACACGUGGGAACGUGCCUUUAGGUUCGGAAUAACUCAGGGAAACUUGUGCUAAUACCGAAUGUGCCCUUCGGGGGAAAGAUUUAUCGCCUUUAGAGCGGCCCGCGUCUGAUUAGCUAGUUGGCGAGGUAAAGGCUCACCAAGGCUACGAUAAGUAGCUGGUCUGAGAGGAUGACCAGCCACAUUGGGACUGCGACACGGCCCAAACUCCUACGGGAGGCAGCAGUGGGGAAUCUUGCGAAAUGGGCGAAAGCCUGACGCAGCCAUGCCGCGUGGAUGAUGAAGGUCUUAGGAUUGUAAAAUCCUUUCACCGGUGAAGAUAAUGACUGUAGCCGGAGAAGAAGCCCCGGCUAACUCUGUGCCAGCCGCCGCCGUAAAAC
rnacentral:rRNA from 1 species